UAGCAGAACUAAUCUCUACUUAAAGUAACACGCCCAAACCAAAAUAUCUCAUCAACAGUCUCGUAGACUAGGCAUGAACAGGAGGCAGCCCGGAGACUCCACUUGUGCUAGUAGA